CGAGACCUCCUGGUGACCAGAUCUGCUGUUUUUACCAAAUUUCCUAUUGAAAAAUACUUUUCAAAGGAGUGUACUUAAGGAAAGAAGCUUUUGUCCAGGCACAGCUGCAGAAGAGGAAGUGUGUAUGCCAGAGGCUGGGUGUGGCAGCAAAAGAAAACCAAAUCCAGAACUAAGAGAAGACUUGGAGCAAA